CCCUUAGAUGUUCUGGGCCGCACGCGCGCUACACUGUUCGACGCAGCGAGUCUUAACCUUGACCGAAAGGUUUGGGUAAUCUUCAGCAAAGUCGAACGUGAUGGGGAUCGAUCAUUGCAAUUAUUGAUCGUGAACGAGGAAUUCCUAGUAAGUGCAAGUCAUCAGCUUGCGCUGAUUACGUCCCUGCCCUUUGUACACACCGCCCGUCGCUACUACCGAUUGAAUGGUUUAGUGAGAUCUCUGGAUUGACGCUGGCUAGGGGGCGACCCUCGGCCAGACUGCUCGAGAAACUGCUCAAACUUGAUCAUUUAGAGGAAGUAAAAGUCGUAACA
rnacentral:rRNA from 1 species